UGCAAAGCAGGGAGAGUGACGGAGGCGGAGGCACUGCUGGCUGCUGGAACGGACAUUAACAAGCUGGACAGAACGCAGUUUAACCCUUUCAUGGACGCGAUCAACUCAGGACAGGUCGACUGUGCUAGAUGGCUGCUGAGGCAAGACGGUUUAAAGCUUCAGACCGAGAUAUGGUCGUUUUGUAGGGAGAGGGUGCUAGAGUCAUUGCUAACAGCUUAACAGAAGGUAGGGAGAGCGAUCCAUGGCUGUCCCGAUAGACCCACUCAGACUCCUGCCGGAAGAUACUCCUCCGGUUGAUCCAGAUGAGACAGUUCUAGCAGAUGAUCAGUUACAGACUGAAGAACAUAUCCCACAGAUCAAUGCGUCAACAUCUGCAA